rnacentral:rRNA from 1 species
GUGCAGCAGGCGCGAAACCUCACACUGUGCGAAAGCACGAUGAGGGAAUCCCAAGUGCUUGCACGUAAGUGUAAGCUGUUUCUCUGUCUAAAACGCAGAGAGAGAGUAAGGGCUGGGUAAGACGGGUGCCAGCCGCCGCGGUAAUACCUGCAGCUCAAGUGGUGACCGUUAUUAUUGGGCCUAAAACGUCCGUAGCCGGUUUAAUAAAUGCCUGGGUAAAUUGUGUAGCUUAACUAUACGAAUUCCGGGUAGACUGUUAAACUUGAGACCGGGAGAAGUUAGAGGUACUCCUGGGGUAGAGGUGAAAUUCUGUAAUCCUAGGGGGACCACCAGUGGCGAAGGCGUCUAACUAGAACGGGUCUGACGGUGAGGGACGAAGCCCUGGGGCGCAAACGGGGAUUAGAUACCCCUGUAGU